GAUUUUUAUAUAAUAAAUAAUUAAAUAAAAUAAAGAUAAAUUUUUAUUUUUAAAUUAUUAUAAUAUUUUAUUGGGGUAAUAAUAAAAUUUUAUAAAUUUUUAUUUUUUAUUUACGAAUUAUAAUUGAUUUUUUGAUCCAGUAUUAUUGAUUAUAAAUUUAAAUUACCUUAGGGAUAACAGCAUAAUGAUUUUUGAGAGUUCUUAUCAAUA
rnacentral:rRNA from 1 species